UAUUCUCAACUCCACCAGCUUUUGUGGCUGGCUCUUGGAGAUUGGAUGUGGAGGCUUUGCUGGCCCUUGGUCAGCUCCUCUGAAAUACAUUAGCGGAACCGUUUGUGAUCCGUCACAGGUGUGAUAAUUAUCUACGCCAGUGGGUUGCUCUCUGUCUGUUCAGCUCAUAAUUGUCCUGGAACAUGGACAAACUAUAAUGAAC
rnacentral:misc_RNA from 1 species